GCCGCCGUAGCUCAGCGGGUAGGCCGAUGUGGCCCAAAGCGCCAGCCUUGUAAGCUGGUGGUCGCGGGUUCGAGUCCCGCCGGCGGCU
rnacentral:tRNA from 1 species